AAACCAGCACCUCAAGUGGUCAGGAUGAUUAUUGGGCCUAAAGCAUCCGUAGCCUGUUCUGUAAGUUUUCGGUUAAAUCCACUAGCUCAACUAGUGGGCUGCCGAAAAUACUGUAGAACUAGGGAGUGGGAGAGGUAGACGGUAUUCGGUAGGAAGGGGUAAAAUCCUUUGAUCUAUUGAGGACCACCUGUGGCGAAGGCGGUCUACCAGAACACGUUCGACGGUGAGGGAUGAAAGCUGGGGGAGCAAACCGGAUUAGAAACCCCAGUAGUCC
rnacentral:rRNA from 1 species